GAGAGCUCACAGCCAAUUUCAUGAGACGGUGCUACAUUAUCGUGCCUUCUUGCAUGAGGAAUUCAAGGCCACAUGCGGUUUCGUCACUUGUCAAAGGUUAGUGUUGCUGAGGUUAGAACUGGGUCCCACUUUGAUCUGAUUCCAAAGCCUGAUCCCUUAACUAGUGUGUGGAGCUGACUGCAGGGAGACUGCUACACCCAGGAAGAGCUGCAGCUGUCUCAGUGGCAGCGUGGAACCAAGGUCUACAGUGGCUGCUGAGGUCAGACUUGAAGAAAUGACUCACAUGCAAGGCUGAUCUACAUAAGUAGCCUGUGCUAAGACUGCCAUCUGGUAGAACAAUCUACAUCACACGACUCCACGUUUCCUGUUACCCAAGCAUCUCCAUGCUCUGCAGGUGCAGCUUCGAUGGACCAUGGCCAUAUUGCCCCACUACUAUCAAUCACACUGAGAUGUAGUCCACAGCAUUCAACAAGCCACCACUCAUGGGAUAGAGGAUAGGCAAAAGGAACAACUAAGACAGUAGAGGAGCCCAGCACUCCGAACCCCUAAUCAUGCCUUCGGUGGAUUCCUUUGGUAAAGUUUUCCUUUGUGGGUUUCUUUCAGCACUUGACCCAUAGCCCAUGGAAUGUGUCAGCUCUAAUUGCCUGUGUGGAUUGGCACAAGUCGUGCCUCAAAAUUGGAAUGUUGUCACAUAUAACAUAGCCUUUCAGAGGGAUAAAUGUGGAAAAUGUUUUACCCAUGAAUUCCUUAGAAGCAAUUGUGCUCUAUCACGUGAAAGGCUGAAGACCUGGACAGAACCUAAUGACUAUAUCCCCAAGAUCCCCAAGGUUCAGUGGCUUUCAGGAUGUUGCUCUCCCUGACUCCAUGGACAUCACAGAAUGACAGUUGUCCACUGGAGUAUUCUUCACCCAGGCAGCUUUCUAAAAAAAGGAAAUUUGAGAGUUGCAAGGACAGAUGAAGGGGCUGAGGGCCUGGGAUCCCUUUAUGUGAGACUCAUUAUUGAAGAACAACUUAUACAAUUAUUAUCUGAGGACCAGGUGACAGCUGUCAAGAAGGCCUCCUUGUAAGAGGGUGCAGAAUAUAUGAAAUUUGUCUUUAGGUGAUGAUCUACUACUAAGAGUGAUGCUAUGAGGUUGGCAUCUAAGGAAAAGAAAAGAGGCUGGCAUAUGGUGAGCACCUAGUCUGUGCCAUGAAUUGUGAACUUAACCUUGAAUUCUCGUAUGUUCAUCUAAGGUCUGUUUUCUUUAAGGAGAGAUUGUGACCCUCUUGGUCUGGUAUGCAAGCUGUGAUGAAUACAGAGCUCUUCAGAUGGAUCAA
rnacentral:lncRNA from 1 species